rnacentral:rRNA from 1 species
GACGAACGCUGGCGGCGUGCUUAACACAUGCAAGUCGAACGGAAAGGCCCUGCUUUUGUGGGGUGCUCGAGUGGCGAACGGGUGAGUAACACGUGAGUAACCUGCCCUUGACUUUGGGAUAACUUCAGGAAACUGGGGCUAAUACCGGAUAGGAGCUCCUGCUGCAUGGUGGGGGUUGGAAAGUUUCGGCGGUUGGGGAUGGACUCGCGGCUUAUCAGCUUGUUGGUGGGGUAGUGGCUUACCAAGGCUUUGACGGGUAGCCGGCCUGAGAGGGUGACCGGCCACAUUGGGACUGAGAGACGGCCCAGACUCCUACGGGAGGCAGGAGUGGGGAAUAUUGCACAAUGGGCGGAAGCGUGAUGCAGCAACGCCGCGUGCGGGAGGACGGCCUUCGGGUGGUAAACGGCUUUCGCCUGUGACGAAGCGUGAGUGACGGUAAUGGGUAAAGAAGCACCGGCUAACUACGU